UAGGAGGGAGAGGUGCUGCCUAAAAUGACACAUUGCUUGUCCAGGAAGGAGAUUUCGCCCUAGGGGUAAGAUGCUGGGGGUUCCAGGACCAUUCCAAGGCCUGCCAAGAACCUCCGAUCCCAGGGUGUGCUGGGACCAGAUCCUAGCAGAAGUAUCAUCAAAGAGACCAGGGAGACUUCAUCCGGAAACUGAUGGGAACAGGAAAUCACAAGGCAACUGGAGCCAACAUCUGCUGAUCUCAGAGUCUCAUCCUCUAAUUCACUGACAGUAAAUCUCAGGACUUGAGGUUUUGAAGAAUUCCUGGAGUCAGAACUGUAGUCACCAGGCUGAAAUGACCCCAGAUACUUACUUCAGAAACAAGCCUAGACCGUGCAAGUGUGGGAAGCAUCAAGGCUUAGUGAUCAUGUGUUGGAGAAGUUCUCCAAUUAGGUGGGCAGUCAUAAACCGUAAACCAUGGUUCAUAAACCAUGUCUGCUUUCCUGAGAGACUGGUCCCCCAACUCCACCAGUCAUAGCUCUACUUUGGCCAAUCCCCUACCUACGAUAGGACUUCCAGGAGACCACCUACAGGGGAGCCUCAGUUUCUCACUUGUAAAAUAAUGUAAUGUCCUCGUCUGUUUAAAGAUUCUAAACCAGAAGUUAGAGCUCCUCCUCCCACUGAGUCAGUAUCAAGUCCGCUGUAUCUCCACAAAUCUCCUUUAUCUGUACUGUACCAGCCUCCCCCUCACGCCUCACAGUGAUGAGUCACCCUCUCUGCAGCUCCCUUGAGGCUAACUGAAAUAGUCCCCAAACUGGUUUUGCCUGCCCAUAGACUCAUCAAGGCCCAACAAUCAGACUGCCUCAAGCUCUUACAUGGACUCCCUGUCAUAAUAACGUCCAAAUCCUUUCGUGUAGCGCAGUCCUCUAGGCCCUCAAGAUCCUACUUGCUCGUUCCUUCAACCAAACCACCUCUGCAGUGCCCGCCCAUGUCGUAGCUCCCUGAGCUGCAGUCCCUGGAUCCUCCAUACUUCCUUCUCCUUCUCCUUUGUACACGAUGUUCCCUCAGCUCAGAAAGCCGGUUCUCCCCCUGUGUUUGUCCCUCUGUGCUCCAUUCCAGGUGACUUCCUCCAAUCUGUUCUCUCAGCCCUC